CUAAAACACAAUUGUUGGUGAACUGUAUUUACACACACAAGGCCAUAUACACUAUAACCAUCUCUGUGGGCUCAUUGCACAGACUCAUGCCACUGUAGCUGGACUCUGAAGAGGACACACCCUAAGAGGAAGGGCUUUGGAAACUCAGCUAAUUAUUCCUGCAGAUCCCCUGGUUAUUAGCAGGGACAGAGGCCAUCCUGCAACCACAGUCGGGCAGCCUCUGCCCCUGGCCACUCCACACGGCUCAGCAGCUCCCCAGUCUUCCGCCUUGGCAGAGCUUCCAACAUUUAAAAAUAAGUAAUACUUGCUAGAAGAAAUAGAUCCCGAAAUGAGGAUGCCUCGAAAUCAACCAAGGCUUAUUUUUCACUCAAGCAGUAAUAGAAAACAAACGGUUAGUGUUUUAAAACUAGUAUAAAGUUUUAAAAUUGAAAUUCUAACCCAGGGGCCAAUAUACUAGACAGCUGUCAGACACCAGAGUGAAGGGGAUAUGGACUAUUGCAAAGGAAUCUUUAGAGUAGAUAUCUGAGACCAAGUUCCAUUAUCUUUGAGAGUC
rnacentral:lncRNA from 13 species